UCAAAUAGAGAAGAGCACACGGUGGAUGCCUAGGCAUUGAGAGGCGAUGAAAGACGUAGGAGCCUGCGAUAAGUUUCGGCGAGCUGGCAAGCAAGCGAUGACCCGGAAAUUUCUGAAUGGGGAAACCCACUGGCCGUCAUAGGCCAGUACCGAAAGGAGCCAACGCGGGGAACUGAAACAUCUAAGUACCCGUAGGAAAGGAAAUCAAACGAGACUCCCUGAGUAGCGGCGAGCGAACGGGGAAUAGCCCAAACCAUGCCAAUUCGUUGGUGUGGGGUUGUAGGACUGACAUAAGGAUCGGUGAUUGAUAGCGGAAGUAUCUGGGAAGGUACAGCAUAGAGGGUGAGACUCCCGUACGCGAAAUCAUGAACCGGACAGACAGUAUCCUGAGUACGAUGGGGCACGUGAAACCCCGUUGGAAUCUGGGGGGACCACCCUCCAAGGCUAAGUACUACUCAAUGACCGAUAGUGAACGAGUACCGUGAGGGAAAGGUGAAAAGAACCCCGGAAGGGGAGUGAAAAGACCCUGAAACCGUGUGCUUACAAACAGUGGGAGCUCUUCGGAGUGACCGCGUACCUUUUGCAUAAUGAGCCAGCGAGUUGUGGUUCGCAGCGAGGUUAAGCCGUCAGGUGUAGCCGUAGGGAAACCGAGUCUGAAUAGGGCGAAUAGUUGCGGGCUGCAGACCCGAAGCCAGGUGAGCUACCCAUGGGCAGGGUGAAGCGAGGGUAAAACUUCGUGGAGGCCCGAACGCACAAGAGUUGAAAAUCUUGGCGAUGACUUGUGGGUAGGAGUGAAAGGCUAAUCAAACCUGGAGAUAGCUGGUUCUCCCCGAAAUGCAUUUACGUGCAGCGUCGGACAGCACCGUUGAGGGUAGAGCACUGACAGGACUAGGGGCCCUCCAAGGUUACCAACUCCUAUCAAACUCCGAAUUUCAAUGAGUGACGUACGGCAGUGAGACUGCGGGAGAUAAGUUUCGUAGUCGAGAGGGAAAGAGCCCAGACUACCGGCUAAGGUCCCCAAAUUUGUGCUAAGUGGUUAAGGAAGUGGGGAAACAUAGACAACCAGGAGGUUGGCUUAGAAGCAGCCACCCUUUAAAGAAAGCGUAAUAGCUCACUGGUCAAGUUGUCCUGCGCCGUAAAUAUAGCGGGGCUAAGCACAAUACCGAAGCCGUAGCAAUGUAUUUAUACAUUGGGUAGGGGAGCGUUCCAUAUGCGGAGAAGGGGAAGCGUGAGCGACCUUGGAGCGUAUGGAAGUGAGAAUGCUGGCGUGAGUAGCGAUAAAGCGGGUGAAAAACCCGCUCGCCGGAAACCCAAGGGUUCCUGUCCAAGGAUCAUCCGGGCAGGGUUAGUCGGCCCCUAAGGCGUAGCUGAAAGGCGAAGUCGAUGGGAAACGGGCUAAUAUUCCCGUACCUUCAACGAGGAGCAGUGCCGGGACGGAGAAGGCUAGGCCAGCCACCUGAUGGAUGGUGGUUCAAGGUAGUAGGCUGGGGUUGUAGGAAUAAAACGCGACCCCUUAAGGCCGAGAACUGAUGACGGAGUGUCUUCGGACAUGAAGUGGUUGAUGCCAGGCUUCCAAGAAAAGCGGCGGGCUGCGUUGAGACGUUGAAGACCGUACCCCAAACCGACUCAGGUGGGUAGGUGGAGAACACCAAGGCGCUAGGGAGAACUCGGGUUAAGGAACUAGGCAAAUUGACACCGUAACUUCGGGAUAAGGUGUGCCACUGGUAGGUGAUAGGACUUGCUCCUGGAGCCGAAGGUGGUUGCAACAAAGCGGCGGUAGCGACUGUUUACCAAAAACACAGGUCUCUGCGAAACCGUAAGGUGACGUAUAGGGACUGACGCCUGCCCGGUGCUGGAAGGUUAAGAGGAGUCGUUAGCAUUAGCGAAGCGGCGAAUUGAAGCCCCAGUAAACGGCGGCCGUAACUAUAACGGUCCUAAGGUAGCGAAAUUCCUUGUCGGGUAAGUUCCGACCUGCACGAAAGGCGUAACGACUUCCGCGCUGUCUCGACCCGAGACCCUGUGAAAUCGACAUUGGGGUGAAGAUGCCCUAUACCCGCAGAAAGACGGAAAGACCCUGUGAACCUUUACUCUAGCUUGACAGUGGCGUUCGAUAUGGUUUGUGUAGGAUAGGUGGGAGGCUUUGAGUCCGGGGCGCUAGUUUCGGAGGAGCCACCGUUGAAAUACCACCCUGAUCAUGUUGGCCGCCUAACCCCUAACGGGAGACACUGUCUGGUGGGGAGUUUGACUGGGGCGGUCGCCUCCCAAACAGUAACGGAGGCGCGCGAAGGUUCUCUCAGGCUGAUUGGAAACCAGCCGUAGAGUGCAAAGGCAUAAGAGAGCUUGACUGCGAGACGGACACGUCGAGCAGGUGCGAAAGCAGGCCUUAGUGAUCCGGCGGUCCCGUGUGGAAGGGCCGUCGCUCAACGGAUAAAAGGUACUCCGGGGAUAACAGGCUGAUCGCGCCCAAGAGUUCACAUCGACGGCGCGGUUUGGCACCUCGAUGUCGGCUCGUCGCAUCCUGGGGCUGGAGCAGGUCCCAAGGGUUUGGCUGUUCGCCAAUUAAAGCGGCACGCGAGCUGGGUUCAGAACGUCGUGAGACAGUUCGGUCCCUAUCUUCUGUGGGCGUUGGAGAGUUGAGAGGCCUUGUCCUUAGUACGAGAGGACCGGGAUGAACGUACCUCUGGUGUUCCGGUUGUUGCGCCAGCAGCAUUGCCGGGUAGCUACGUGCGGAAAGGAUAACCGCUGAAAGCAUCUAAGUGGGAAGCCUGCCUCAAGAUGAGCUCUCCCUGAAGGACCCAGGUAGACUACCUGGUUGAUAGGCAGGGUGUGUAAGCACAGCAAUGUGUUCAGCUAACCUGUACUAAUUGUCCGAUUGAUUUGUUUCA
rnacentral:rRNA from 1 species